rnacentral:rRNA from 1 species
GACGAACGCUGGCGGCGUGCCUAAUACAUGCAAGUCGAACGCAGUGGGGACGGGUGAGUAACACGUGGGUAACCUCCCAUCAGAGGGGAUAACACUUGGAAACAGGUGCUAAACCGAUACUGAUGGAUGGACCCGCAGUGCAUUAGCUAGUUGGGGAGGUAACGGCUCUCCAAGGCACCGAUGAAUCGCCGACCUGAGGGGGUGAUCGGCCACACUGGGACGGAGAAACGGCCCAGACUCCGACGGUGGGCAGAAGUAGGGAAUCUUCGGCAAUGGGGGGAACCCUGACCGAGCAACGCCGCGUGAGUGAAGAAGGUUUUCGGAUCGUAAAGCUCUGUUGUUAAGGAAGCGGUACUUAACCAGAAAGGGACGGCUAACUACGUGCCAGCCGCCGCGGUAAUAC